rnacentral:rRNA from 1 species
UACGUAGGGUGCAAGCGUUGUCCGGAAUUAUUGGGCGUAAAGAGCUCGUAGGCGGUUUGUCGCGUCGAAUGUGAAAACCCGGGGCUCAACCCCGGGCCUGCAUUCGAUACGGGCAGGCUGGAGUUCGGUAGGGGAGACUGGAAUUCCUGGUGUAGCGGUGAAAAUGCGCAGAUAUCAGGAGGAACACCGGUGGCGAAAGGCGGGUCUCUGGGCCGAUACUGACGCUGAGGAGCGAAAGCGUGGGGGAGCGAACAGG